GAUGAACGCUGGCGGCGUGCUUAACACAUGCAAGUCGAACGAUGAAGCCCAGCUUGCUGGGUGGAUUAGUGGCGAACGGGUGAGUAACACGUGAGUAACCUGCCCUUAACUCUGGGAUAAGCCUGGGAAACUGGGUCUAAUACCGGAUAGGAGCGCCUACCGCAUGGUGGGUGUUGGAAAGAUUUAUCGGUUUUGGAUGGACUCGCGGCCUAUCAGCUUGUUGGUGAGGUAAUGGCUCACCAAGGCGACGACGGGUAGCCGGCCUGAGAGGGUGACCGGCCACACUGGGACUGAGACACGGAGCAGUCUGCUACGUGAGGCAGCAGUGGAGAAUCUGGCACAAUGGGCGAGAGCCUGAUGCAGCGACGCCGCGUGAGGGAUGACGGCCUUCGGGUUGUAAACCUCUUUCAGUUGAGACGAAGCGAAAGUGACGGUACCUGCAGAAGAAGCACCGGCUAACUACGUG
rnacentral:rRNA from 1 species